rnacentral:rRNA from 1 species
GAUGAACGCUGGCGGCGUGCCUAAUACAUGCAAGUCGAGCGAACAGACGAGGAGCUUGCUCCUCUGACGUUAGCGGCGGACGGGUGAGUAACACGUGGAUAACCUACCUAUAAGACUGGGAUAACUUCGGGAAACCGGAGCUAAUACCGGAUAAUAUAUUGAACCGCAUGGUUCAAUAGUGAAAGACGGUUUUGCUGUCACUUAUAGAUGGAUCCGCGCCGCAUUAGCUAGUUGGUAAGGUAACGGCUUACCAAGGCAACGAUGCGUAGCCGACCUGAGAGGGUGAUCGGCCACACUGGAACUGAGACACGGUCCAGACUCCUACGGGAGGCAGCAGUAGGGAAUCUUCCGCAAUGGGCGAAAGCCUGCCGGAGCAACGCCGCGUGAGUGAUGAAGGUCUUCGGAUCGUAAACCUCUGUUAUUAGGGAAGAACAAAUGUGUAAGUAACUAUGCACGUCUUGACGGUACCUAAUCAGAAAGCCACGGCUAACUACGUG